rnacentral:rRNA from 1 species
AGACGGAGGGCGCGAGCGUUGUUCGGAAUUACUGGGCGUAAAGCGCGCGCAGGCGGACGUGGCAAGUCGGUGGUGAAAUCCUGGGGCUCAACCCUGGGGCUGCUGCCGAUACUGCUCGUCUGGGGACCGGUAGGGGCCGGUGGAAUUCCCGGUGUAGCGGUGGAAUGCGUAGAGAUCGGGAAGAACACCUGUGGCGAAGGCGGCCGGCUGGGCCGGAUCCGACGCUGAGGCGCGAAAGCGUGGGGAGCAAACAGGAUUAGAUACCCUGGUAGUCCACGCCGUAAACGAUGGGUGCUAGAUGCCGGUGGGAGCGACCCCUUCGGUGUCGUAGCUAACGCGUUAAGCACCCCGCCUGGGGAGUACGGCCGCAAGGCUGAA